rnacentral:rRNA from 1 species
GGCUCAGGACGAACGCGGGCGGCGUGCUUAACACNUGCAAGUCGAACGGAAAGGCCCGCUUGCGGGUACUCGAGUGGCGAACGGGUGAGUAACACGUGGGUAACCUGCCCCCUGCUUCGGGAUAACUCCGGGAAACCGGGGCUAAUACCGGAUAUUCAUUGCCUGCCGCAUGGUGGGUGGUGGAAAGUUUUUUCGGCUGGGGAUGGGCCCGCGGCCUAUCAGCUUGUUGGUGGGGUGAUGGCCUACCAAGGCUUCGACGGGUAGCCGGCCUGAGAGGGCGACCGGCCACACUGGGAUUGAGACACGGCCCAGACUCCUACGGGAGGCAGCAGUGGGGAAUAUUGCGCAAUGGGCGGAAGCCUGACGCAGCGACGCCGCGUGAGGGAUGACGGCCUUCGGGUUGUAAACCUCUUUCAGCAGGGACGAAUGUAGACGGUACCUGUAGAAGAAGCACCGGCCAACUACGUGCCAGCAGCCGCGGUAAUACGUAGGGUGCGAGCGUUGUCCGGAAUUAUUGGGCGUAAAGAGCUCGUAGGCGGUCUGUCGCGUCGAAUGUGAAAACCCGGGGCUCAACUCCGGGCUUGCAUUUGAUACGGGCAGGCUAGAGUUCGGUAGGGGAGUCUGGAAUUCCUGGUGUAGCGGUGAAAUGCGCAGAUAUCAGGAGGAACACCGGUGGCGAAGGCGGGACUCUGGGCCGAUACUGACGCUGAGGAGCGAAAGCGUGGGGAGCGAACAGGAUUAGAUACCCUGGUAGUCCACGCCGUAAACGUUGGGCGCUAGGUGUGGGGGUCCUUCCACGAUCUCCGUGCCGCAGCUAACGCAUUAAGCGCCCCGCC